AGAGGUCCGCCGUCUCCACCGAAGGCAGUUAGACCAAGUCUUGAUACAAGACACCAAGUAUCAAGAUGACAAGAAGAACAAAACGCUCCACUCCAACUCGAAGAUGAAACUCUUCGCUAAAGCAACAAGAGAAAAGACCAGAAGAGCGUACCAGAACUGAGUCUCACGCACCACCACUGCCACGACCCCCUGUAGAUCUACAAAACUGAAAACGAGAUCUGACGGAGCCACACCCGAAAA
rnacentral:lncRNA from 1 species